UACAGAGGUCCCGAGCGUUGUUCGGAUUCACUGGGCGUAAAGGGUGCGCAGGUGGUUUGGCAAGUUUGAUGUGAAAGCCCCGGGCUUAACCCGGGAAUGGCAUUGAAUACUGCUUGAACUGGAGGGUUGGAGGGGGGGACUGGAAUUCUUGGUGUAGCAGUGAAAUGCGUAGAUAUCAAGAGGAACACCAGUGGCGAAGGCGAGUCCCUGGACAAACCCUGACACUGAGGCACGAAAGCCAAGGGAGCAAACAGG
rnacentral:rRNA from 1 species